rnacentral:rRNA from 1 species
AGUUCGAUCCUGAAAAAUAUUGCCGUUGAACGCUGGCGGGGAUCGCUUACACGGCGAUGGAACGGCUUUGCGGACUUCGGUCUGGCGAGUGGCGAACGGGUGAAUAAUGUCGGGAACGUGCUAGUAGCGGGGAUGUACGCCGAAAGCUAGCUAAUACCACGCGCAUCCGGGGGAAAGCGAGGACAACCGGGCCUCGCACUGUUGGUGACCGAUAUCCGGAUUAGCUGAUUUGGUGAGAUAACGGCUCACCAGGCGACGAUCCGUAGCUGGUUUGAAGGACCAACUACACUGGGACCCGGAAUACGGCCAGGGCUCUACCGGAGGCAGCGGUGGUGCGGACAAUGGGAAACCCUGGUCCAGCCAUCCCGCGUGUGCGAUAACGAGCCUUCAGGUUAUAAAAAGCACUUUUGGCGGGGAAAGAAACGGCCUGGGAUAAUACAUACAACUGGCAAUACCUGCAGAAUAAGCACCGGCCUAACUACGUGCCAGCGGCCGCGAUAAACCGUAGGUGCAAGCGUUAAUCGGAAUAUUAGGCGUAAAGCGAUGCGCAGGCGAACCGGAAGAAAGAUGUGAAAUCCCAGGCUUAACUUUUGGAACUGCAUUUUUAACUACCGAGCUAAGAGUGUGUCAGAGGGAGGUGCGAGUCCGCCAAUGUAGCAGUGAAAUGCGUAGAUAUGCGGGAGGAACACCGAUGGCGAAGGCAGCCUCUCGUACUGACGCUCAUGCCUGGCGGCGUGGGGAGCAAACGGGAUUGGAAUCACCUGGUAGUCCACGCCUAAACGAUGUCAACUGGCUGUUGGGGCGCUGGGCCUUGGUAGCCCUGUGCAGCAGUUGACCGCUGCAAGUACGGUCGCAAGAUUAGAACUCAAGGAAUUGACGGGGACCGCACAAGCGGUGGAUGAUGGAUUAAUUCAUUACAGCGCGAAAAACCUUACCUACCCUUGACAUGUCUUGGAAUCCCGAGAGAUUUGGGGUGCUGCAAAGAGAACCGGAACACAGGUGCUGCAUGGCUGUCGUCAGCUCGUGUCGUGAGAUGUUGGGUUGAGUCCCACAACCGGCGCAACCCUUAAUCGUGAAUUGCUGAAAGGAGGCAUCUAAUGAGACUGCCGGUGAUAAACCGGAGGAAGGUGGGGAUGACGUCAAGUCUCGGCUAUGGUAGGGCUUCCACACGUCAUACGUGGUCGGGACAGAGGUGUAACCCGCGAGGAGCAAUCAGAAACCCGAUCGUAGUCCGGAUCGCAGUCUGCAACUCGACUGCGUGAAGUCGAGAUCGCUAAUAAUCGCGGAUCAGCAUCUUCACGCACGGUAGAAUGCAUUCCAGGUCUUUAUACCCGCACCGCCCGUCACACCAUGGGAGUGGGUUUUACCGGAAGUAAGUUAGCCUAACCGUAAGGAGGCGAUUACCACGGUAGGAUUAAGCCUGAAUUGAAGUCGUAACAGGUAGCUCUGUUACCGCCGGGUAUACGA